rnacentral:rRNA from 1 species
AUUAGCUUGUUGGCGGGGUAACGGCCCACCAAGGCAACGACCAGUAGGGGUUCUGAGAGGAAGGUCCCCCACAUUGGAACUGAGACACGGUCCAAACUCCUACGGGAGGCAGCAGUGAGGAAUAUUGGUCAAUGGGCGAGAGCCUGAACCAGCCAAGUAGCGUGCAGGAAGACGGCCCUAUGGGUUGUAAACUGCUUUUAUAAGGGAAUAAAGUUAGUCUCGUGAGACUUUUUGCAUGUACCUUAUGAAUAAGGACCGGCUAAUUCCGUGCCAGCAGCCGCGGUAAUACGGAAGGUCCGGGCGUUAUCCGGAUUUAUUGGGUUUAAAGGGAGCGUAGGCCGGAGAUUAAGCGUGUUGUGAAAUGUAGACGCUCAACGUCUGCACUGCAGCGCGAACUGGUUUCCUUGAGUACGCACAAAGUGGGCGGAAUUCGUGGUGUAGCGGUGAAAUGCUUAGAUAUCACGAAGAACUCCGAUUGCGAAGGCAGCUCACUGGAGCGCAACUGACGCUGAAGCUCGAAAGUGCGGGUAUCGAACAGGAUUAGAUACCCUGGUAGUCCGCACGGUAAACGAUGGAUGCCCGCUGUUGGUCUGAACAGGUCAGCGGCCAAGCGAAAGCAUUAAGCAUCCCACCUGGGGAGUACGCCGGCAACGGUGAAACUCAAAGGAAUUGACGGGGGCCCGCACAAGCGGAGGAACAUGUGGUUUAAUUCGAUGAUACGCGAGGAACCUUACCCGGGCUUGAAUUGCAGAGGAAGGAUUUGGAGACAAUGACGCCCUUCGGGGUCUCUGUGAAGGUGCUGCAUGGUUGUCGUCAGCUCGUGCCGUGAGGUGUCGGCUUAAGUGCCAUAACGAGCGCAACCCCUCUCCUUAGUUGCCAUCAGGUUAAGCUGGGCACUCUGGGGACACUGCCACCGUAAGGUGUGAGGAAGGUGGGGAUGACGUCAAAUCAGCACGGCCCUUACGUCCGGGGCUACACACGUGUUACAAUGGCAGGUACAGAGAGACGGUCCCUUGCAAAACGGAUCAAAUCCUUAAAGCCUGUCUCAGUUCGGACUGGGGUCUGCAACCCGACCCCACGAAGCUGGAUUCGCUAGUAAUCGCGCAUCAGCCAUGGCGCGGUGAAUACGUUCCCGGGCCUUGUGCACACCGCCCGUCAAGCCAUGAAAGCCGGGGGCGCCUAAAGUCCGUGACCGUAAGGAGCGGCCUAGGGCGAAACUGGUAAUUGGGGCUAAGUCGUAACAAGGUA